rnacentral:rRNA from 1 species
CGAGGGGUAUAGUUCUUCGGGACUAGAGACCGGCGCACGGGUGCGUAACGCGUAUGCAAUCUACCUUUUACAGAGGGAUAGCCCAGAGAAAUUUGGAUUAAUACCUCAUAGUAUAUAGCCCUGGCAUCAGGAUUAUAUUAAAGUCACAACGGUAAAAGAUGAGCAUGCGUCCCAUUAGCUAGUUGGUAAGGUAACGGCUUACCAAGGCUACGAUGGGUAGGGGUCCUGAGAGGGAGAUCCCCCACACUGGUACUGAGACACGGACCAGACUCCUACGGGAGGCAGCAGUGAGGAAUAUUGGACAAUGGGCGCAAGCCUGAUCCAGCCAUGCCGCGUGCAGGAUGACGGUCCUAUGGAUUGUAAACUGCUUUUAUACGAGAAGAAACACUCCUUCGUGAAGGAGCUUGACGGUAUCGUAAGAAUAAGGAUCGGCUAACUCCGUGCCAGCAGCCGCGGUAAUACGGAGGAUCCAAGCGUUAUCCGGAAUCAUUGGGUUUAAAGGGUCCGUAGGCGGUUUAAUAAGUCAGUGGUGAAAGCCCAUCGCUCAACGGUGGAACGGCCAUUGAUACUGUUAGACUUGAAUUAUUAGGAAGUAACUAGAAUAUGUAGUGUAGCGGUGAAAUGCUUAGAGAUUACAUGGAAUACCAAUUGCGAAGGCAGGUUACUACUAAUUGAUUGACGCUGAUGGACGAAAGCGUGGGUAGCGAACAGGAUUAGAUACCCUGGUAGUCCACGCCGUANACGAUGGAUACUAGCUGUUGGAAGCAAUUUCAGUGGCUAAGCGAAAGUGAUAAGUAUCCCACCUGGGGAGUACGUUCGCA